UAUUUUUCGCCGCCGGGUGAAUCGGAAACUAUGUGUUUCUCUUUGAAUCGUUAGGCCUUAGAAGAUUCAAAGGAGGGGACACAUUUUUA
rnacentral:ncRNA from 1 species